AAAAGAAACUAACAAGGAUUCCCCUAGUAACGGCGAGUGAAGAGGGAAAAGCUCAAAUUUAAAAGCUGUUGUCUUUCAGGCAACCGCAUUGUAAUCUCAAGAAGUGUUUUCGAUUGUAGCCUGCGUAUAAGUACCUUGGAAUAGGUUGGCAUAGAGGGUGAAACUCCCGUCUUUGAUGCAGAUUACUAUGAUCAUGUGAUACACUUUCUAAGAGUCGAGUUGUUUGGGAAUGCAGCUCAAAAUGGGUGGUAAAUUCCAUCUAAAGCUAAAUAUUGGCCUGAGACCGAUAGCGAACAAGUACCGUGAGGGAAAGAUGAAAAGCACUUUGGAAAGAGAGUCAAACAGAACGUGAAAUUGCUGAAAGGGAAGCGUUUGAAGUUAGUCUGAUAGGAGUUGUUCAAUUGUUACUUUGGUUUCAAUGUAUGCAACUUUUUAUCGGUCAACAUCAAUUUUGAUUGAUGGAUAAAGGUAAUAGGAAUGUGGCUACAUUUUUGUAGUGUUAUAGACUAUUAUCAUAAACAUUGAUUGAGAUUGAGGACGGCAGUGUACCUUUUAGGAAGGUGUUCGCACCUAUUACACUAAGGAUGUUGACAAAAUAGCUUUAAGCGACCCGUCUUGAAACACGGACCAAG
rnacentral:rRNA from 1 species